rnacentral:rRNA from 1 species
GACAACAGAGUUUGAUCCUGGCUCAGAACUAACGCUGGCGGCGCGUCUUAAACAUGCAAGUCAUACGGGUAGCAAUACCAGUGGCGAACGGGUGAGUAAUACAUGGAUAAUCUACCUAAAAGUUGGGGAUAACUCAGAGAAAUUUGGGAUAAUACCGAAUGUGACGGUUCGGCAUAAGCCAGAUUGGUUAAAGCAGCAAUGCGCUUUUAGAUGGGUCCAUGGCUGAUUAGCUAGUUGGUAGGGUAAAGGCCUACCAAGGCGACGAUCAGUAGCCGGCCUGAGAGGGUGAACGGCCACAAUGGAACUGAGACACG